rnacentral:rRNA from 1 species
UACAGAGGGGGCAAGCGUUGUUCGGAAUUACUGGGCGUAAAGCGCACGUAGGCGGAUUUGUUAGUCAGGGGUGAAAUCCCGAGGCUCAACCUCGGAACUGCCUUUGAUACUGAAGAUCUUGAGUUCGGGAGAGGUGAGUGGAACUGCGAGUGUAGAGGUGAAAUUCGUAGAUAUUCGCAAGAACACCAGUGGCGAAGGCGGCUCACUGGCCCGAUACUGACGCUGAGGCACGAAAGCGUGGGGAGCAAACAGG